rnacentral:lncRNA from 1 species
GGCUUCGGAAGGCACAGAUUAUCAGAAAAAACGUUCACUUGGCGUUGUCCCAUGUAACAAACUCGAAACAUUAAACUCGAACAAUUCGCGAAAUGUUCACGCAACUCUUCGAAAUUUUGCAGGAAUGUUCUAUGACGUGAUAUAUUUCAGUACUGGUUUACAUGGCCAUCUCAUUAUAAAAUUAGCAUAGAUACUUUGAAAGGAAUAUGUAUAAAUGACUGUCCCAGGGAAAAUUUAGUUUGAAAACUUGAAAC